rnacentral:rRNA from 1 species
UACGUAGGGUGCGAGCGUUGUCCGGAAUUAUUGGGCGUAAAGAGCUCGUAGGCGGUUUGUCGCGUCGACUGUGAAAACCUACAGCUUAACUGUGGGCUUGCAGUCGAUACGGGCAGACUUGAGUUCGGUAGGGGAGACUGGAAUUCCUGGUGUAGCGGUGGAAUGCGCAGAUAUCAGGAGGAACACCGGUGGCGAAGGCGGGUCUCUGGGCCGAUACUGACGCUGAGGAGCGAAAGCGUGGGGAGCGAACAGG